GGGGGCGUGGCGGAAUGGCAGACGCUACGGACUUAAAAUCCGUUGACCGUAUAGGUCGUGUGGGUUCAAGUCCCACCGCCCCCA
rnacentral:tRNA from 1 species